ACUCCUGCGGGAGGCAGCAGUGGGGAAUAUUGGACAAUGGGCGCAAGCCUGAUCCAGCCAUGCCGCGUGAGUGAUGAAGGCCCUAGGGUUGUAAAGCUCUUUCACCGGUGAAGAUAAUGACGGUAACCGGAGAAGAAGCCCCGGCUAACUUCGUGCCAGCAGCCGCGGUAAUACGAAGGGGGCUAGCGUUGUUCGGAUUUACUGGGCGUAAAGCGCACGUAGGCGGACUAUUAAGUCAGGGGUGAAAUCCCGGGGCUCAACCCCGGAACUGCCUUUGAUACUGGUAGUCUUGAGUUCGAGAGAGGUGAGUGGAAUUCCGAGUGGAGAGGUGAAAUUCGUAGAUAUUCGGAGGAACACCAGUGGCGAAGGCGGCUCACUGGCUCGAUACUGACGCUGAGGUGCGAAAGCGUGGGGAGCAAACAGGAUUAGAAACCCCAGUAGUCCC
rnacentral:rRNA from 1 species